GACGAACGCUGGCGGCGUGCCUAAUACAUGCAAGUUGAGCGCUGAAGGUUGGUACUUGUACCAACUGGAUGAGCAGCGAACGGGUGAGUAUCGCGUGGGGAAUCUGCCUUUGAGCGGGGGACAACAUUUGGAAACGAAUGCUAAUACCGCAUAAAAACUUUAAACACAAGUUUUAAGUUUGAAAGAUGCAAUUGCAUCACUCAAAGAUGAUCCCGCGUUGUAUUAGCUAGUUGGUGAGGUAAAGGCUCACCAAGGCGAUGAUACAUAGCCGACCUGAGAGGGUGAUCGGCCACAUUGGGACUGAGACACGGCCCAAACUCCUACGGGAGGCAGCAGUAGGGAAUCUUCGGCAAUGGACGAAAGUCUGACCGAGCAACGCCGCGUGAGUGAAGAAGGUUUUCGGAUCGUAAAACUCUGUUGGUAGAGAAGAACGUUGGUGAGAGUGGAAAGCUCAUCAAGUGACGGUAACUACCCAGAAAGGGACGGCUAACUACGUG
rnacentral:rRNA from 1 species